AUGAAGACCUUGGCAUUGUUGACACUUCUGCUGAUCAUGAAUGGUUCUGCGGUGGGACAAAUGCUGAAAUCUAAUGUGACGGGCUUUGUUGGACAGGAUGUUCUUUUACCAUGCAACUGUUCUAAUGACCCUAAAGAACUGGUUUGGCAGACAGAUCUGAGAGUAGUGAAUUUUCAUUCACAUGAAAUUAGCAAAAUAGAUGAUGCCUACGUAGACAGGACGCAACUCUUCCUAAACAAGGAGAAGAGAAACUGUUCCCUGCUGCUCAUAAAGGUCUCUUCAGAAGACGCAGGACUGUACACCUGUUAUGCCAUAGCCAAGGUUGGUGACGCCUGGUCAAGCAAGACAUCAACAGUUUAUCUAACAGUGUCUGAAAUGAACAUCGACCCUGAAACAAAAGGCCUUACUGGAGACAGUUCUGUCACAGCUGUCUCUGUCAGUGUUCCCAUAUUGGCAAUAGUGCUUAUACUGGCUGCUAGUCUGCUUCUAACUCUACUGAUCAGAAGACGACAUCGGACAAACACGGUAAUCAGACUUCUGUCACAAAAUUGCACUUACUGUUUAUUCCGCAUCUCACGGCAAUAGCGUCAACUUUUCGAGAAACCAUGUUAAGCUAAAAACAGAUGAAUUUAAAAUCUGCUUCAAGACUGUUGCACUCAAUCUUCUUUUAAUUGCAAGAAUAUUACCGUAUUUUCCGGACUAUAAGUCACCCUUCUUUCAUAGUUUGGCUGGUCCUGCUACUUAUAGUCAGGUGUGACUUAUUUAUCAAAAUUAAUUAGACAUGAACCAAGAGAAAACAUUACCGUCUAGAGCCGCGAGAGGGCGCUCUAUGCUGCUCACUGCUCCUGUAGUCUACACUGAAGACAUAGAGCGCCCUCUCGUGGCUGUAGACGGUAAUAUUUUCUCUUGGUUCUAAAUAAAUGCGACUUAUAGUCUAGUAUGACUUAUAUAUGUUUUUUCCUCAUCAAGACGUAUUUUUGGACUGAUGCGACUUAUACUCAGGUGCGACUUAUAGUCCGAAAAAUAUGGUAGCCUUAAUGACAAAGUUUUGCCGUGGUGCACUAAAGAAAUUGAAUUCCAUUUGAAUAAACCGUUGUAAUUGUAAAGUAAAUGAAUCAGCCAAAUUCCUUGAAUAGUCCUCACGGCAAAAGUAAACCUACACCAGCUUCAGUCACAUACUUGUAGAGCACAGCUUUAGUGCUUAAAGGGACACUUCACCCAAAAAAUUUCAUUAAUCACUUACCCCCAUGUCAUUCCAAACCUGUGAAAGCUUUGUUCGUCUUGGGAACAAAAUGUAAGAUAUUUUGGAUGAAAACCAGGAGGCUUGUGACUGUCCCAUUGACUGCCAAGUAAAUUUCACUGUCAAGGUCCAGAAAAGUUUGAAAGACAAUGUCUGACACAGAAGAGCGUAUGCAGUGUGCAUUCAGUGAAUAUUCUCCAUAAUGGCACUAUGGUGAGGCAGAGAGACACAGAGAAGACAAAUUGUUGAACAAGUCAUUAUUGUCGUUUUUAUCACGUACAAAAAGUAUUCUCAUCACUUCAUAACAUUACUGUCGAACCACUGACGGUAGCUGGACUAUUCUGUCGAUACUUUUCACACUUUUCUGGACCUUGACAGUGUAUUUUAUUUGGCAGUCUAUGGGACAGUCUCAAACCUCCCGGUUUUCAUCCAUAAUAUCGUAAAAUGUGUUCUGAAGAUGAACAAAGCUUUUACAGAUUUGGAACGACAUGGGAACGACAAGGUAUUAAUGACAAAAUUUUCAUUUUGGAGUGGAGUAUCCCUCUAAGGUCCUGUGUUUGACAUAUAUUUAGUCGUUGUACAUGAUAUAUUAAAAAAAGCCUGACUGUGAUUUUCUUUUUCUUUUUUUUUUGUUAUAGGACACUGAUUUACAGGUUGAGAGUCCAAUGCUAGUGGAGACCAGUGCUGUGUGAAGUUCUCUUGCUUGACAGUUUAAUGGACUAACUUCAAUGUUGUAAUGCAAGGUCCUUCACAGCAACAAAGGAUAAUACGAGGCCUUAGCCCUAAACAAAUGCGCUUGCAUGUGGGCAUCCCACAGUGGUGCGUGCCGAUCCGUCUCGCUUCAAGACAGAUCAAUGUGCAGUCUUCAGUUGUAACACUGUUUGAAAUAUACCACUGAACUGUGAAUAUACCAUGAAUAUAUAUAUUCUGUAGGCAUUACAGUUUCAUAACUUAACAAGAUUCUCCUUGUAGGAACUGUCUUUAUUCAUUCUUUGAAGAACAGAUGUAAUAGUAGGGGAUGUGCAGUUUAUAUUUAGCCUUUUUCCUCCCUUUUUGAGACACAUUGGUGGUCUCAAUCCUUAACAGGCUUUUCAAAUCAGCUUAUUUUAUUGUUCAUAUGUAUACAGCAAUCAUUUACUAAGCACACAUCGUGAAAGCUUCUUUACAUUUAUUAUACAGCCUGUGCUGAUUUUAAUUUAUGUGGAAGAAAUAUGUGGCACUCCCUAUGGGAUAUUUUUGCUUUUUUACUGUACUAAAUGUCAUUUACUUUUAAAUGAAUUCUGUUAAGUGCUUCAAACCUGCUGAGGCAAUAAACCUUUUACAUAUACCGUUUAGUUUUCUUUUGUUUUCUGUAUGUAUGGCCUCUUUAGUUACUGAAGUUUUAGUAUAAUGACAUGUCUUAUUUAAUUCCCGCCUUAACCCGGGUAUGUAGAACACUAUUUUGCUGACAUAGGAUUAAAGUCAAAUUUCCCAACCAGAGCUUUGUGCUCUGGCUGUUGCGUAACAUUGAGGUUUUUAUUCAGUCCGAACACUUGUUCCUUGUCUCAAAUCUUUGGAUUCUUUCCACUGGUUUGGUUUCAGUUUCCAUAUGACUGUACUACAAAAAUUGGCACAUUAACAUGUAUUGAAUGAAGAAGUUAGAAUGCACAAACUCCAAUGACCAGAGGAAAUACACUUCUAGUAUCAUACGAUAUUAAGUGAGGCAUUCAUAAGCAUUACAAAACAUUUAGAUAUAUUUUGCUGUCAUAAACUGAUCAUUCAAAACUAUGUUUUUAUAAUUCCCUAAAUUUUUACAACCUGCUGGUUACUCUGCUGCAGCAGUGUUUGUGGGAUAUUAAGGAUAAAAUAUAUAGGCCUAUACCUACUCUAGUUCAUAGUUGGACAUCAAUAGGCAUUACCUGGUUUUAAGUCAAGAAUUGUCCCUGUGUAUUCAGACUAUGCUAAUUAGUCCACUAAGGUCACGAUAAGAUACAGUACCUAACCUAAAUAUAAAGCAAUGACUGUUUUUGUCAUUUUCGGUGUUUAACUGAAAGAAUGUUUUGGAUUAAAAGCUUCUAGUAGAGGAAGUAGCUGCCAGGUGGUUGAAAAUGUGUGUUAAACAGCUUGGGUGACAUUUUUACCUUUAAGAUAAAGUUCAUGAAAAGAUGUCUUCACACAAUGUUGACAGUAAGAUUAAAGAGAUAGUUCAUCUAAAUUCUCUCAUAAUUUACUCACCUACAUGCAAUUUCAAACCUGAAUGAUUUCUUUUGAUUCUGUGUACCAAAGAGAGAGAGAGAGAGAGAGAGAGAGAGAGAGAGAGAGAGAGAGAGAGAGAUGUUAGGCAGGAUUUGCAUUUCUGAAUGGUGCCCAAACGUAACGAAAGCAAAGGUGAACUUUCCUUCUAAUGUAUAUACUUUGGCGGCAUACCAGGAAGUACAGGGAGAUUUUGAUCCCAAGUCUAUUUUUAGGAACGAUAAACUCAAAUGAGGGAAUGACAUGUGGAAACAAUUACAAAACACAUAUAAGACACCCUCAUCAUUUAAAAACAAGCCAUUCAAUCUUUAGGCCUCUUUUAAGCCAUGAAAUACCAAGAGGAUUGAGCUUUUGGUUUUUUUAUAAGACUUUGUAUAAAAACAUCUUGUGUCAACUUUACAGAAGACAAUAACGGAGUGAAGAACUUCUCAACUGAAUUAAAAUUCAGUCAAGAAAGAAAAGCACCCUCCUCUCUUUGUCGCCUUGGAAAGUCCCAUGCUGAUGUCAGCAAAUAUGGUUGGAAAUUGUCAUGUGAUGAUGUAAUUAUUAUUUUGUUUUUACACUGCUGUGAAAUGCAACAAGCUUUUUAAUUACACACAUAUAACACACCCAUGAGUUUUAUGUUUGCCCAAAUCACUUAAUAAUUAAACCUAUUAUGUUUUCAGAUAAAAAUAUUCUGUUUGCUUCCUAGUUAUUGCCAUGCUGUUGCAAUUUUUUUUUUUUUUUUAUGUUCAAAAGCAGCCUAAGUUAUUCAUCUAUCUUCUCAUGCUUUACUAAUAACUUAGUGCAAAUUCUACUCUGGAAAACUAAGAGUUAGUUUUCAUGGCUAUGACUGCAACUUCCAAGCCUAAAUGAGCAGAAACACAUGAACUCCUGUGCUGUCAACAUGAAACUUUUCAUGUUGUGAGGUGAACAAUGAGAAGCUGAUCAUGUAUCUUCUUUCACAAGCUUACAUAAUACCCAAGUUUCCAGGAAGUUAACUGAAAUAGAAAAUAAACCAGAUAGGAAAGGCUAAGUAGCACAGAUUUAAAUUCACAUAACCUGUUUUGUGGUUGGUGAACGUUAAUGUGUGUGGGAGAGAUUGAGAUCUUGGAAGUUUCUGUGAAACAAGCUGUGUAACAUUUUAAAGUGACUUUUAAGCUAAGCUUUUUGGCACCAAGGUAUUGUUGUUGUACCUUAAGUUAAAGUGUCUGAGGAAUUGCAUCAUAUUUCCUUGAUCUUUAAAUGAUCAAGCUUCAUAUACUAGGUAAAAGUACUGUACUGCAAAAUACCCUG
ensembl:lncRNA